rnacentral:rRNA from 1 species
CCUACGGGAUGCAGCAGUGAGGAAUAUUGGUCAAUGGGCGCAAGCCUGAACCCGCCAAGUCGCGUGAGUGAAGACGGCCCUACGGGUUGUAAACCUCUUUUGCCGGGGAGCAAGCCUGAGCACGUGUGCCCAGGCGGAGAGUACCCGGAGACAAAGCAUCGGCUAACUCCGUGCCAGCAGCCGCGGUAAUACGGAGGAUGCGAGAGUUAUCCGGAGUUAUUGGGUUUAAAGGGUGCGCAGGCGGGCUGUUAAGCCGGCGGUAAAAAUUCAGGGCUCAACCCUGGCGAGCCGUCGGAACUGGCAGCCUGGAGUGGGCGAGAAGCAGGCGGAAUGCGUGGUGUAGCGGUGAAAUGCAUAGAUAUCACGCAGAACGCCGAGUGCGAAGGCAGCAUACCGGCGCCCGACUGACGCUGAGGCACGAAAGCGUGGGGAUCGAACAGGAUUAGAUACCCUUGUAGUC